GAUGAACGCUGGCGGCGUGCUUAACACAUGCAAGUCGAACGAUGAAGCCCAGCUUGCUGGGUGGAUUAGUGGCGAACGGGUGAGUAACACGUGAGUAACCUGCCCUUAACUCUGGGAUAAGCCUGGGAAACUGGGUCUAAUACCGGAUAGGAGCGUCCACCGCAUGGUGGGUGUCGGAAAGAUUUAUCGGUUUUGGAUGGACUCGCGGCCUAUCAGCUUGUUGGUGAGGUAAUGGCUCACCAAGGCGACGACGGGUAGCCGGCCUGAGAGGGUGACCGGCCACACUGGGACUGAGACACGGCCCAGACUCCUACGGGAGGCAGCAGUGGGGAAUAUUGCACAAUGGGCGCAAGCCUGAUGCAGCGACGCCGCGUGAGGGAUGACGGCCUUCGGGUUGUAAACCUCUUUCAGUAGGGAAGAAGCGAAAGUGACGGUACCUGCAGAAGAAGCACCGGCUAACUACGUG
rnacentral:rRNA from 1 species